rnacentral:rRNA from 1 species
GACGUAGGGCGCGAGCGUUGUCCGGAUUUACUGGGCGUAAAGCGUGCGCAGGCGGUGAUGUAAGACAGAUGUGAAAUCCCCGGGCUCAACCUGGGAACUGCAUUUGUGACUGCAUCGCUGGAGUGCGGCAGAGGGGGAUGGAAUUCCGCGUGUAGCAGUGAAAUGCGUAGAUAUGCGGAGGAACACCGAUGGCGAAGGCAAUCCCCUGGGCCUGCACUGACGCUCAUGCACGAAAGCGUGGGGAGCAAACAGG